UGUGUGUUAUAUAGUGAUUUUGCCCACUCUGGUAUUGGCACAUGCGCUUUCGUGUCUACAGUGCAGGUAUAGCCUACAUGAAUAUAUUAUUAUGGGCAGAAGAGCAAGAUCAUUUUGAUUUGUCAAACGGCAACCAAGCAUUGAUGAUCAUGUCACCAGGAUAAGAUGGAUCACAUAUGGUGUGUGUUCCUCCCUCUACGACUCGGGAAACCAUGCAGUUUAUUAGGCUACAGAUGAAAUAAAUUAUCAUGAACUUGACGUUGGUGGUGAAAGUGCACCGUGAUCUUGUUGCUCCUUUCCAAUAAAUAUUGAGUGUCUGAUUCUGGUGACAUGAUCGAUGCUUGACUGCCGAUUGACAAAAAUAUUCUCGCUCUUAUACAUAGUAAUGUCAUCAUGUAGACUAUCUUACCCGCACAGUAUCUGCCAGCUGUUGGCUGGAGAGCAUAUGCCAAGACCAGAGUGGAAACAUUUUCUAUUUGCAACAGUUUUUGUGACAAAACCCAUCGGUAGAGUUGAAAAUGCGAUGGAAACACAUUGAACUUUAGAUUUUUAUUCAGGACAUGAACACUUAAGUGACAAAGUACAUUUUUGUGUGCACUAGCUCAUCACAGAACUAAUUUUUAUCCGUAACAAGUCUGUUUUUUUUUCUUUAUGCGGAUCAUAGAAUAUUCGUAUGGAAAUCUGUCGCCAGUUGGAUGGAAAUCUAGCUAGUGAUAAGUUUUGUGGGCAAUUUUUUUUGUUCUUUAAUACUUGGAUCUUCAAUGUGUAUUGAUUACUACUAACAAGGUUAUUUAGAGCUAGGUUUGUACGAGCUAUGAUUGUCACGUUCCUGACCUGUUUUCUGUUGUGUGGUAUGUGUUUAGUUGGUCAGGGCGUGAGUUGGGGUGGGUAGUCUAUGUUAUGUGUUUUCUAUGUUGGGUUAAUGGUUUGCCUGGUAUGGUUCUCAAUUAGAGGUCAGGUGUUUUACAUUUCCUCUGAUUGAGAGCCAUAUUAAGGUAGGUUGUUCUCACUGUUUGUUUGUGGGUGAUUGUAUCGUGUGUCUGUGUAUGUCGCACCAUACGGGACUGUUUGCGGUUUGUCACGGUUGUUGUUUUUGUAUGUUAAGUGUUCAGUCUGUAUUCAUUAAAUAACCAUGGACACUAACCACUCUGCAUAUUGGUCUGAUCCUUCUCGCCUCUCCUCCUCGUCCGAGGAGGAGGAUUACGACGAUCGUUACAAUGAUGAUCAUGAAUUUUUUUUCUCUGCAUCAGGUCUCACUGAGACUGGAUUCCUCAAGAGAAAUAUACAGCUGCUCAUGAUUGCCUGAUCUUAGUGUGCAAACCCCUUCUGUCCUGACUCAGAGUCUUGACUGCCAAGCGGUCCUUAAUUGGGGGAACCUCUGUCCGGGACAAUGUCCUCAGGAUUGUGGAGCGAGCUCAGACCAAACCAAUCUGAAGUAGAGCAGCAGAAGCACCAGUCGGGUCACAUCUGGAUGUGUGAUAUUCAUUCACUCUCAUAUCAUGAGACGGAAUAACCAUGACAACAUGACUGUGGGAUGUAGAUUAAACAAAGAACAAAUAGAAAUAGUGAAUAGGGGGCGUUACUGGGAGAUGUUGAAACAAGGUGUGCAUCCUCCAGAGUUGUGGAUACGGCAGAGAGUAAAGUGUAGUGGUCUCAGCUUUUAACCCAAUCUGUGCUGAGGGGAGUGUGUCGGGACAGAGGUUAGAAGAGGACGGGGAGGGUCUUUCCAGCACAGCGAGUUCACUAACUCACAUUACGAAACCAGACAAGCUACGCGAUGUAGCCUGUGACGAGAGCUCAUGUAGUAGAGUAUUCAGAUGUGUUAUUUGGGCAUGACUCUAGCUCAGUCAGUUGAACGUUUGAUACAUAGAGAGAUUGUCAGCCUUAUUCUAAGAGAUUAUAAAGACUCAUACAUGUGUGUACACUGAGUGUACAAAACAUUAAGAACACCUGCCCUUUCCAUGACAGAUCCUCAAAAAGUUAUACAGCUGCACCAUUGAGAGCAUCUUGACUGGCUGCAUCACCACUUGGUAAGCAACUGUUUGGCAUCCAACCGCAAGAUGCUACAGAGGGUAGUGCAUACGGCUCAGUACAUUACUGGCACCGAGCUCUUUGCCAUCCAGGACCUCUAUACCAGGCGGUGCCAGAGGAAGUCCCUAAAAAUUGUCAAAGAUUCCAGCCACCCAAGUCAUAACUGUUCUCUCUGCUACCGCACGGCAGGCGGCACCGAUGCACCAAGUCUGGAACCAACAGAACCCUGAAAGGUUUCUACCCCCCCCAAGCUAUAAGACUCCUAAAUAGUUAACCAAUAGUUACCCAGAAUAUCUGCAAUAACUCUUUUGACUCAUCACAUUCGCUGCUGUUACCGUUUGUUAUCUAUGCCGCUGCCUAGUCACUCUAUCCCAACCAAAUGUACUUAUCGAUCUCAGUUACCUCUUACCCCUGCACAUCGACUCGGUACUUACCCCGUCUUUAUAGCCAAGUUAUCGUUACUCAUUGUGUAUUUAUUCCUUGUGUUGUUUUCUAUUUUAAAAAAUGUCUGCAUAGUUGGGAGUAAGAAAGCAUUUAACUGUUACUAUCAGUAUUGAUGAUUUUUAAGCCUUGAGACAAUUGAGACAGGGAUUGUGUGCAGUAUGUGUGCCAAUCAGAGGGUGAAUGAGCAAGACAAAAGAUUUGCGCCUUUGAACAGGGUAUGGUAGUAAGGUGUCAGACGCACCGUGUUGAGUGCAUCAAGAACGGCAAAUCUGCUGGGUUUACACAUUAUAAAGAAUUGAUCCUGUCUGAUCUUUAUCUGCUGGGUGUACACAUUAUAAAGAAUUGAUCCUGUCUGAUCUUUAUCUGCUGGGUUUACACAUUAUAAAGAAUUGAUCCUGUCUGAUCUUUAUCUGCUGGGUUUAUACAUUAUAAAGAAUUGAUUCUGUCUGAUCUUAAUCACCUCGGUUUACACAUUAUAAAGAAUUGAUCCUGUCUGAUCUUUAUCUGCUGGGUUUAUACAUUAUAAAGAAUUGAUCCUGUCUGAUCUUUAUCUGCUGGGUUUACACAUUAUAAAGAAUUGAUCCUGUCUGAUCUUUAUCUGCUGGGUUUAUACAUUAUAAAGAAUUGAUCCUGUCUGAUCUUUAUCUGCUGGGUGUACACAUUAUAAAGAAUUGAUCCUGUCUGAUCUUUAUCUGCUGGGUGUACACAUUAUAAAGAAUUGAUCCUGUCUGAUCUUUAUCUGCUGGGUUUAUACAUUAUAAAGAAUUGAUCCUGUCUGAUCUUUAUCUGCUGGGUUUAUACAUUAUAAAGAAUUGAUCCUGUCUGAUCUUUAUCUGCUGGGUUUAUACAUUAUAAAGAAUUGAUCCUGUCUGAUCUUUAUCUGCUGGGUUUAUACAUUAUAAAUAAUUGAUCCUGUCUGAUCUUUAUCUGCUGGGUUUAUACAUUAUAAAGAAUUGAUCCUG